UGGGGAAUUGUUCACAAUGGGCGCAAGCCUGAUGACGCAACGCCGCGUGGAGGAUGAAGGUCUUCGGAUUGUAAACUCCUGUUGCCCGGGACGAAAAGCUCUGACCUAACACGUCAGAGUCUGACGGUACCGGGUGAGGAAGCCCCGGCUAACUCUGUGCCAGCAGCCGCGGUAAUACAGAGGGGGCAAGCGUUGUUCGGAAUUACUGGGCGUAAAGGGCGCGUAGGUGGCCUUCUAAGUCGAACGUGAAAUCCCUGGGCUCAACCCAGGAACUGCGUCCGAGACUGGGAGGCUUGAAUCCGGGAGAGGGAUGCGGAAUUCCAGGUGUAGCGGUGAAAUGCGUAGAUAUCUGGAGGAACACCGGUGGCGAAGGCGGCAUCCUGGACCGGGAUUGACACUGAGGCGCGAAAGCCAGGGGAGCAAAC
rnacentral:rRNA from 1 species